UACGAAGGGGGCGAGCGUUGUUCGGAUUUACUGGGCGUAAAGGGCGCGCAGGCGGCUUUGUUUGUCAGGCGUGAAAGCCCCGGGACUUAACCUGGGAACUGCGUUUGAUACGGCAGGGCUAGAGUUCGGGAGAGGAGAGUGGAAUUCCCAGUGUAGAGGUGAAAUUCGAUAGAUAUUCGCAAGAACACCAGUGGCGAAGGCGGCUCACUGGCCCGGUACUGACGCUGAGGUGCGAAAGCGUGGGGAGCAAACAGGG
rnacentral:rRNA from 1 species